UGAUGUGUAGCCGGGCUGAGAGGUUGAACGGCCACAUUGGGACUGAGACACGGCCCAAACUCCUACGGGAGGCAGCAGUAGGGAAUUUUCGGCAAUGGAGGAAACUCUGACCGAGCAACGCCGCGUGAACGAUGAAGUAUUUCGGUACGUAAAGUUCUUUUAUUAGGGAAGAAUAAAUGAUGAAAAAAUCAUUCUGACGGUACCUAAUGAAUAAGCCCCGGCUAACUAUGUGCCAGCAGCCGCGGUAAUACAUAGGGGGCAAGCGUUAUCCGGAAUUAUUGGGCGUAAAGGGUGCGUAGGCGGUUAAAUAAGUUUAUGGUCUAAGUGCAAUGCUCAACAUUGUGAUGCUAUAAAAACUGUUUAGCUAGAGUAAGAUAGAGGCAAGUGGAAUUCCAUGUGUAGUGGUAAAAUGCGUAAAUAUAUGGAGGAACACCAGUAGCGAAGGCGGCUUGCUGGGUCUUUACUGACGCUGAGGCACGAAAGCGUGGGGAGCAAACAGGAUUAGAUACCCUGGUAGUCCACGCCGUAAACGAUGAGUACUAAACGUUGGGUAAAACCAGUGUUGAAGUUAACACAUUAAGUACUCCGCCUGAGUAGUACGUACGCAAGUAUGAAACUUAAAGGAAUUGACGGGACUCCGCACAAGCGGUGGAUCAUGUUGUUUAAUUCGAAGGUACCCGAAAAACCUCACCAGGUCUUGACAUGCUUCUGCAAAGCUGUAGAAACACAGUGGAGGUUAUCAGUUGCACAGGUGGUGCAUGGUUGUCGUCAGCUCGUGUCGUGAGAUGUUGGGUUAAGUCCCGCAACGAGCGCAACCCUUAUUGUUAGUUACCAGCACGUAAUGGUGGGGACUUUAGCAAGACUGCCAGUGAUAAAUUGGAGGAAGGUGGGGACGACGUCAAAUCAUCAUGCCCCUUAUGACCUGGGCUACAAACGUGA
rnacentral:rRNA from 1 species